UGGCACCCCCAGCAGCAGUGAUAACGACCAUGGGGUGGAGAGCACGAACAUCAACAACCUCUUGGCCUUGUUGGCUUCUCCGACAUCAAUAACGACGACCAGCUCGCCAUACGGUUGCUAGAGUGCUAAAGAAUGGUGGAGAAGAACAAUGGAUUGUUGAUGGAGCCAAUCAACAAGGACGAUAAGGACGGCCACAACAGUGAGAAUAAGAAGGCGGAGCUCAUGCGUUAAUGAUAAAGAAGUCAACAAUGCCACCUGGUGUGCAAAAGGGUCCUCAAGGUAUAUGUUAUCCACCAUUGGUAUUGACCCAUUAGAAUAUGUAAGCCCCCAAUGCAACAUACGGGCAAUUUAUAUACAUCGUAGCCCAUAGCAACGUUGCCUGCAGCAUUGGAGUUGUAUAUAUUAGAAUUGAGUUAUGAUGGCAUAAUUUUUCUGUCCGAGUUAAAUUUGCAUUGUGUAAAAGUCUAACUAAGUUUUCUUUCGCAUUCUUCUAUAAAUUGGAAGUCCAAUAUAGAUUUCUCAAUGUAUCAUUUUGGGAUUAUUUGAUCACCGAACAAUAUUGCCAUGCUGACCAUUUCUCUUGUCUUUGCAAUAUCUAUAGGAUCUAAUGUAAAAGUAUAAUGUGCUUCACAGAUUUUUUUAUUUCUUUUGAUUUUGCCUUGCUUGUUAUUUAUGCUUAUAGCUUUAUAUGUGAGAUUCUAUUUAGCGACACCUCUUUCAAUUGUUAGUUGAGGUGCUUCUGAGUUUAUCAAUCAGGUGACGCAUGUGGUGCCCUUUCGGAAUGUCGUUUUUUUCUUCCUUGCAUCUCAAAUGCAAGCAACCAUGCUUCUACCGAGGCUUAGAAGAAACGAAGAUGCUGUUGUCAAGAAUUUCACCCCAUCCAUGUCAUUGGAUAUCACCUCUGGCUGCAGCAAUAGUGUGUCAAUCUAGCUCACGUGAAUUGAGCUACGCAAUGUCCUAUUAUUACUCUGUUACUCAUAGAGUUGGUAUCCCUAAAUAGUAAGAACAGAGAAGAUUCUUGGUGAGUUAUUACACGUAUUUUUUUGAUCUCCUAGAAAAAUCUUUUGUGGUUUAAGCACAACCCAUAUUAUGGUUCUUUUAUACCAAUUAAGUUCACUAUUCAACGAAAUUCCUUUUCACUAAAAUAAGAACCAUGUAAUGCUUACAAUUGAUCUGGUCAGCUAGAUAACUAAAUGAGUUAAAAUUAUGCGUACUAUCUUUUGACAUAUGUAAUGUGGGGUAGAAGACCAGUGUCUCUUGCUAGGGAUUUCUGGAGGCAACAUCCCUCUGAUUGUAUGCACUUAACUAUUUUGCUUCUGGCUUCCUUCUAUUGUAUUUUAUGUUGUCUGCAGAUGCAAAUACUUUUACGACUAAUCAGUCUCGGAUAAUACUUCAACCCAGACAUCAACGGAGCAAAGAACUUGAUUAAAAGGUUCAAGGAGCUCCGACGCUUUCUAUGACCAAAGAAUUCAUUCAAGCCAGAUUUUCUUUCAAGAUAACAAUAAUGCCCUAGGAGCAUCCUUAUCCAUUGAACAAUACCGGAGAGAUAGAGCGCUACUGCCUUACACUUUUCAAUAUCCCUAGCUUUAUUUUCAUUAUUGUGAUAAUUGUGGUAUUUAAAAAUUUAGAAUGCCUUGUGCGAUUAUCUGUGGAUUUUGCAACCCAUGUAAUCUCCUAUUAGACUGGAUAUGAUCAAAAUAACUCAGCUUUUCAUCAUUGGUUGUCAUCAAGUAGAGCUUAUUUUGUGGAUGGAUGCAUUGGUUUAUGUUUCCAGGCUUUUAGUUUUUCCCUUAUAAUAUUCAGUUGAUUCCCAUGAGGGGCGGCGACCCAUGCUGGACGUGUGAUGAAGGGAGUGUUGUUGACACGGUAUGGGAGACGUCUCAUGGAGAGAGGGGAGGGUGAAAAGUGGUGGAUCGCAAAUGUUUGGAUGUGCUCGAUCUAACGAUUGACCUGGCGGAGAGAUAUCAAGGGUGAUGUUGAGGCUGGCGGCGAAAGAAAUGGCCAAAUGGGGCUCCUCAAUGCAAGUGAGAAGGCUGAUCGAUUCCCGUGGAGCAAUGCAAUGUUGCAUCAGAAUGUAUUGGGUUCCAUUUUCGGGCGGAGAAGAAGUGAUUAAGGCAUGUGCACGAUUCAUUUGUUCAUUCAUUUAAUCCUUCCUUAUUUCACUCAACUUAGAUUCAUUAACUUUUGCACUUGCUCAUGAUUGAUGGAUUGAGAAAUUUAGUGACAUUAAGUGCAAUGAGGACUAUCAUAUAUCCAUAAAACUCAGAUUUUUUUUCAAUAGAACAUGAUCAUGAUGAGCCAGUAAUAUU